rnacentral:rRNA from 1 species
CGGACGGCUGAGUAAUGCACAGGAACGUACCUUGAAGUGGGGGAUAGCCCUUCGAAAGAAGGGGUAAUACCGCAUGUGCUGGCAACAGUAAAGCCGCAAGGCGCUUUAAGAACGGCCUGUGUCCUAUCAGGUUGUUGGUGGGGUAAUUGCCUACCAAGCCUAUGACGGGUAGCUGGUCUGAGAGGAUGACCAGCCAGAUCGGGACUGAGACACGGCCCGA